rnacentral:lncRNA from 1 species
GGAUAAUGUGUCAUUAUGAAGGUUGAUUUUGUUUCAGUUAAGGCCAUCAAAGCAGCCAAUUUUAAGGUUUUUACUGGGGUUGACAAAGGGACCUUCAAGGUAAUUUCAGAUUCUAAUUCCAAGUCUCGACAACUGAUAACUUUGGUGACUGCUCCUGCAAAGGGACAUGAACUGGUUGGGCUUGCUGACAAGAAUCAGGAUUCUGGAAAUGCCCUGACAAAUGAACAUUCUGGUACCCAGAUUUUGGAAUGAGGCAUGGAAGUGUACCCUCCUCAGGCUUCUGUAAUAUUAUGGCCUAAGGGUGAUUCAGAUCAAUCUCCAGCACUCCUGAGAUGGAGACUGAUCUGAAUCACCCUCAGAUCCAUAAUAUCUAAGCUGCUGCUGCUACC